UACGUAGGGGGCAAGCGUUGUCCGGAAUCAUUGGGCGUAAAGAGCGUGUAGGCGGCUCGGUAAGUCCGCUGUGAAAGUCCAGGGCUCAACCCUGGAAUGCCGGUGGAAACUGUCGAGCUAGAGUCCGGAAGAGGCGAGUGGAAUUCCUGGUGUAGCGGUGGAAUGCGCAGAUAUCAGGAGGAACUCCUAUAGCGAAGGCAGCUUGCUGGGACGAAACUGACGCUAAGGCUCGAAAGCGUGGGGAGCGAACAGG
rnacentral:rRNA from 1 species